rnacentral:rRNA from 1 species
AUUCCGAACACAGAAGUUAAGCUCUUUAGCGCCGAUGGUACUUGGUGGGAAGCUGCCUGGGAGAGUAGGACGUAGCCACGU